AGGAAUAUGCCAUGUGGAGGGAAACCACUGAACUUGGGCUACCGAAAAUAUUAAUAGACAGCAACUAAUUAAACAGGAUAGGUAGGGCCCUAAAAAACUUUGACCGAACUUGAUAAUUUUCAUUUAUCUCUGGAAAAAAAAAUUUGAUGAUAAUUACCACAGUAAAUGGAUAUUAAUAACACCCCUUUCAGGAUCUGUAUUUUCUGUCCCGCCCAUUUCCCGGUUCCCGAUUCUCAGUUCCCUCUCCCCCGAUUGCCGCCACGCCAACACCCCACAUCCACCGUCCACCGUCCACGCGAGAUUUUUCCGAUAUACUUUCAAUCAUCUCGCGAGAAAUAAAAGAUCUCCCCCUCUCUUCUUGCUCUAUGUCCAAAGCAAAAGAGGAUUAAACAGAGCGGGAAGAAGGAGAAGUAAGUAGUAGAAUCCAGCUUGGAAAUCUGUUUCCCAAUGCAUUUAAUUACUAUUUUGCCACUAUAAUUACUCACCGCACACCUCUCUCUCUCUCUCUCUCAGUCUCAGACAGACUCUCAGUCUCAGUCUCACACCCACUGCUCUUUAUACACACCAUAUAGAGACACCAAACCCUCCUUCCUUCCCUUUCCAACUUAUUCUAUAUAAAUACUUUGCCAUCAAUCCAAGCCAAACAAAUAUAAUUAUUAAAAAUAAAUAAAUAAAUAAAUAAAAUAAAUAAAAAGAAAAAAGAAAAGAAAAGAAAAGAAGAAGAAGCUCUUUUCGGUCCUCAUUAUAAUAAUCCUCUACUCUUUCAAACACACACAAUCACACACACACACUCUCUCUCUCUUCCCGAAUCUCUCUCAGUUUCAGAGCUCUCCACUCUCCCCAGUUUUUCAUUCAGCGCAUGAAAGAAUGGGGAAUUAACAAUCGGUGAACGGUUGUCGCUUGUAAUCGUUUCGUUUCCUUUUGCAUUGGAAUUUUCGCGACGUCGUUUUGGUUGGCCGAAAUGCGAGUCAAGGAGAUGCACCCGCUCUGCUGCAUCACGCUGGAGAGCGCGGGACUCGGCGACCAGUCGCCGGAGAUCUCGCUCUCCCGGACCCGUAGCCUUCCGACGAGUCUGGCGACGGCGCCGCUUGGAUCUGAUACCAAUGCCUCCGGCCGGCCGGCGGGAUCUGAGACCACCGUCGCCGGAGUUCUCCACAAGUGGACCAAUUACAGCAAGGGGUGGAGAUCCAGGUGGUUUCUUCUCCGAAACGGCGUCCUCUCCUACGCCAAGAUUCGGCGCCCCGAAACGCUCAGUCUCUUGACGCCAAACGACGACGUUCGACUCAUCGGUGAGAUCUCCACUCACCGCCUUUCGAGGAUUGACAGCGGCACGGGGAGACGGAACAAUAAGCCCCCAAAAACUGUUGGAAUCGUCCACCUCAAGCAGAUCUCAUCCUUCAGAGAAAGCAAGUCUGAUGAUCGGAAGUUUUACAUAUUUACUGCUACAAAGACCCUUCAUUUAAGAACUAAUUCAAGGAGUGAUCGGGCAGCUUGGCUACAAGCUUUGGUCUCAACUCGGAGCCUAUUUCCGCUUAGAUACUUGAAUGAUAGUCUCUCCCUUGUACAAACUGAUUUAUCUGUAUCGACUGAAAGACUGAAAAAACGCCUACUUGAAGAGGGAACCAGUGAGAACCUUGUUCAGGAUUGCGAGCAGAUAAUGCUCUCUGAAUUUUCUCAAAUACAAGGACAGUAUAAGGUUCUCUGUGAAGAACGAUCCAAUUUACUCGACACGCUAAGGCAGUUGGAGGCAGCUAAUUAUGAAGCUGAUGCGUCUGGGAUUCAUAAUGGUGAAUACCAAUUGACGAAGCAUGAGUUUCCCGGUUUGGGACAGGGAAAAUAUAGUGGUACACAGUUUAUCACAACUGAAUCAUCUGAUGAUAUUGAGAAACAAGAGCUUGAGGAAGUGUCAGAUGAAGAUGAAAUGCCAUUUCAUGACACAAAAGAAUAUUUUACUGAACCACACAUAGGUUGUGGGUCUAUGAAAGGAGUUGUAAAUAACAGUAAUAAGCACCGUGAACCUCGAAGUCAAUUUGAUAAUGUUGAGGAGAUGCAAACUGAGAAGGAAGUUCAUGGUUAUAGAUACCCACACAUUGAAAGGCGAAAAGAGCUUCCCACUCCAGUUGAGAAGGAGAAAGGGGUCAGCCUUUGGUCUAUGAUCAAAGACAACGUGGGAAAGGAUCUCACUCGAGUUUGCCUCCCUGUGUACUUUAACGAGCCAAUAUCGUCUCUUCAAAAGUGUUGUGAGGACUUGGAGUACUCGUAUCUUUUAGAUCGGGCAUAUGAGUAUGGGAAAAUGGGAAAUAGUCUCCAAAGGGUUCUAAAUGUUGCUGCAUUUGCGGUUUCUGGAUAUGCAUCGUCUGUAGGGCGGCACUGCAAGCCAUUCAAUCCUUUGUUAGGCGAAACUUAUGAAGCUGACUAUCCUGAUAAAGGAAUUCGCUUCUUCUCUGAAAAGGUUAGUCACCACCCAACGCUCAUUGCCUGUCACUGUGAAGGUAGAGGGUGGAAGUUCUGGGCUGAUAGCAAUAUCCGCACAAAAUUUUGGGGGCGAUCAAUUCAGCUUGACCCUGUUGGAGUUCUGAGCUUGGAGUUUGACGAUGGUGAAAUUUUCCAGUGGAGCAAGGUCACAACAAGUAUAUAUAAUCUUAUUCUUGGUAAAGUAUACUGCGAUCACCAUGGUACAAUGCAUAUACGGGGUAAUCGUCAGCAUUCAUGCAAACUGAAGUUCAAAGAGCAAUCAAUUCUUGACCGAAAUCCUCACCAGGUCCAUGGAGUUGUGGAAGACGUGAUGGGGAAAAAGGUUGCUACGCUAUUUGGGAAGUGGGAUGAAAGCAUACAUUAUGUUAAUGGUGAUGGCAGUGGCAAGCCAAAUCCUUCAGAUGCUUCGUUGUUGUGGAAAAGUAGUAAACCUCCUAACGUCACACGGUAUAACUUAACUUCAUUCGCAAUCACACUGAACGAGCUAACACCUGGACUGCAGCUUUGUCUGAUCCCGGGUAUUUGAUCACGGAUUAAGGAGAAGCUACCACCCACGGAUUCCAGGCUCAGGCCGGACCAGCGGCAUUUGGAGAAUGGAGAAUAUGAAAAGGCAAAUGCAGAGAAACAGCGGUUGGAGAAAAGGCAAAGAAUGUCGAGGAAACUACAAGAAAAUGGGUGGAAACCUAGAUGGUUCCAGAGAGAAGGUGAAGAUGGACCUUUCCGCUACGUUGGGGGCUAUUGGGAAACACGGAAGCAGGGAAAAUGGGAUGAAUGUCCAGACAUUUUUGGUGAAUUUAGUGAAGGCCUUGAUGAAGCAUUAGAAGGGUCAUGAUUAUGAUUCAGGAAAAAUAAAACGCGUUGAGAUGGCCACAGUCAAAGCUGUGUAAAACUUAGCUUGGCGUUUCCUGAGUUGGUGUAUUUGUUCAAGAGUUUGGUCGUCAAGUUGAUAGCAGAUAUCCUCCUGGACAUUUUAAAGAAGAAUUCUCUCUCUCCUUUGACUGUAAGUUGAUGAUGAUGAUGGUUAGACUGUAGUCUUAUGUAUCCUUGUAAUGUUAUCAUUGUCAGUGUCAUGGGAUAUUAGUUUACUUAUCUAAUCUCUCUCCUUUUCUCACUCUCACAUAUGUUGUAGUUUGUUUAUUAUCUUUCUUUUCUUUGGGUGCUAACCAUUGGUUAAGCAUUUUCAUAUUUAUUUGUAUUUUCUUUAGUAAUAAAAAGAAAAAUGUAAUUUGUCAUCAUUCAGUUAUGUAAUAGCUUUGGUCUGGCAAUUAUUAUACAAGUGUUCUUGCUACGAACUUCAUCGAUUUGAAUUCGGUGAGGAUUAAACUGAAUC